rnacentral:misc_RNA from 1 species
UUUUGUUGUUGACCAAACAAAAGUUGACAUGUUGCUUCAAUUUGGUUUUCAAGAAGCCAUUGCUAAGAAAGCACUAAAGGCAUCUGGUGGUGACAUUGAGAAAGCGACAGAUUGGAUAUUUAACAAUCCCGAAGCUUCUAUGUCAUCAGAACCAGACUGUUUGGACGCCACUACAUCAAGCACACCAACUAACCUCGAUGCUGGGCUGCCCGAUGGUGGAGAGAGAUACAGACUUAUGGGAAUAAUAAGCCACAUUGGAACGUCUACUCAAUGCGGUCACUAUGUUGCGCACAUCUUUAAAGAUGGUAGAUGG